GGCCUAAUGGUCUAGUAGUAUGAUUCUCGCUUUGGGCAACAUUCAUUGCGAGAGGUCCUGGGUUCAAUUCCCAGUUGGGCCC